rnacentral:tRNA from 1 species
CGCCACGUGGUCGAGGUACGGCACGAUUCCUUCAAGGUGUCGGAGUUCGUGGCGCUGCUUUCGAAAUACGGCGUGGCGCC